rnacentral:rRNA from 1 species
AACGCGAAGAACCUUACCCAGGUUUGACAUGCAGUGGACAGGUACAGAGAUGUACCCUCUCUUCGGAGCCGCUGCACAGGUGCUGCAUGGCUGUCGUCAGCUCGUGCCGUGAGGUGUUGGGUUAAGUCCCGCAACGAGCGCAACCCUUAUCAUUAGUUGCCAGCACGUAAAGGUGGGAACUCUAGUGAGACUGCCCGGGUUAACCGGGAGGAAGGUGAGGAUGACGUCAAGUCCGCAUGGCCCUUAUAUCUGGGGCUACACACGUUCUACAAUGGUCGGUACAGAAGGCAGCGAAACCGCAAGGUGGAGCAAAUCCCCAAAGCCGAUCCCAGUUCAGAUUGUAGUCUGCAACUCGACUACAUGAAGUUGGAAUUGCUAGUAAUGGCGAGUCAGCUACAUCGCCGUGAAUACGUUCCCGGGCCUUGUA